rnacentral:rRNA from 1 species
UACGUAGGCAGCGAGCGUUGUUCGGAAUUACUGGGCGUAAAGAGUGUGUAGGCGGUGCUCUAAGUUCGGUGUGAAAUCUCCCGGCUUAACUGGGAGGGUGCGCCGGAAACUGGAGUGCUCGAACGUGGGAGAGGAAAGCGGAAUUCCCGGUGUAGCGGUGAAAUGCGUAGAUAUCAGGAGGAACACCUGUGGUGUAGACAGCUUUCUGGACCAUUGCUGACGCUGAGACACGAAAGCGUGGGUAGCAAACAGG